AAGUAGCUUGCUACUGGACCUAGCGGCGGACGGGUGAGUAAUGCUUAGGAAUCUGCCUAUUAGUGGGGGACAACAUCUCGAAAGGGAUGCUAAUACCGCAUACGUCCUACGGGAGAAAGCAGGGGACCUUCGGGCCUUGCGCUAAUAGAUGAGCCUAAGUCGGAUUAGCUAGUUGGUGGGGUAAAGGCCUACCAAGGCGACGAUCUGUAGCGGGUCUGAGAGGAUGAUCCGCCACACUGGGACUGAGACACGGCCCAAGACUCCUACGGGAGGCAGCAGUGGGGAAUAUUGGACAAUGGGGGGAACCCUGAUCCAGCCAUGCCGCGUGUGUGAAGAAGGCCUUUUGGUUGUAAAGCACUUUAAGCGAGGAGGAGGCUACCGAGAUUAAUACUCUUGGAUAGUGGACGUUACUCGCAGAAUAAGCACCGGCUAACUCUGUGCCAGCAGCCGCGGUAAUACAGAGGGUGCAAGCGUUAAUCGGAUUUACUGGGCGUAAAGCGCGCGUAGGUGGCCAAUUAAGUCAAAUGUGAAAUCCCCGAGCUUAACUUGGGAAUUGCAUUCGAUACUGGUUGGCUAGAGUAUGGGAGAGGAUGGUAGAAUUCCAGGUGUAGCGGUGAAAUGCGUAGAGAUCUGGAGGAAUACCGAUGGCGAAGGCAGCCAUCUGGCCUAAUACUGACACUGAGGUGCGAAAGCAUGGGGAGCAAACAGGAUUAGAUACCCUGGUAGUCCAUGCCGUAACGAUGUCUACUAGCCGUUGGGGCCUUUGAGGCUUUAGUGGCGCAGCUAACGCGAUAAGUAGACCGCCUGGGGAGUACGGUCGCAAGACUAAAACUCAAAUGAAUUGACGGGGGCCCGCACAAGCGGUGGAGCAUGUGGUUUAAUUCGAUGCAACGCGAAGAACCUUACCUGGUCUUGACAUAGU
rnacentral:rRNA from 1 species